rnacentral:rRNA from 1 species
UACGGAGGGGGCUAGCGUUGCUCGGAAUCACUGGGCGUAAAGGGUGCGUAGGCGGGUUUUUAAGUCAGGGGUGAAAUCCUGGAGCUCAACUCCAGAACUGCCUUUGAUACUGAAGAUCUUGAGUCCGGGAGAGGUGAGUGGAACUGCGAGUGUAGAGGUGAAAUUCGUAGAUAUUCGCAAGAACACCAGUGGCGAAGGCGGCUCACUGGCCCGGUACUGACGCUGAGGCACGAAAGCGUGGGGAGCAAACAGG